rnacentral:lncRNA from 1 species
AGAAGUUGAUCUAAGUCGUUCGCACGCACAGGAGUGGCCCCGAGCUGUUCGAUUGGCCUAACACGCAGAUUGCCAGUGUGGGCUUCCUGCUGGAGCCCGUGUUGACGUGGCCACCACGCAGCUUGUGGCAAUUCGUUACGCUGCUGACUCGGUAUCCAUGUGACAUCCCAAAUUUUAAUUAAGACUUAAGGGUGCUAGGGACAGAAAUAG